rnacentral:rRNA from 1 species
UAUCUCUGUAGAGUCUGCAUAUCAAUAAGCGGAGGAAAAGAAACUAACAAGGAUUCCCUUAGUAACGGCGAGUGAAGCGGGAAGAGCUCAAAUUUGAAAUCUUCAAGGUUUUACCUUGACGAAUUGUAGUUUAAAGAAGUGUUUUCUGUUGGAGUUUUGGUAAAAGUUCUUUGGAAUAGGACAUCAUAGAGGGUGAGAAUCCCGUAUUUGACCAUUAUUUCCAGCUUUGUGAUACACUUUCAAAGAGUCGGAUUGUUUGGGAAUGCAGUCCAAAAUGGGUGGUAAAUUUCAUCUAAAGCUAAAUAUUGGCGAGAGACCGAUAGCGAACAAGUACCGUGAGGGAAAGAUGAAAAGAACUUUGAAAAGAGAGUUAAACAGUACGUGAAAUUGUCAAAAGGGAAGCGUUUGACACCAGUGUUGUUUUUCCGAAAAUCAAUUAAGAAUGUUUUAUUUUUGAGGAGUUAUGACUUCAUCGGCUUGCUCCUUUCUUUAUGGAACUUUCUUAAUGCACUUUUCGGUUAACAAGUCAACAUCAAUUUCUUUUGUUGUAAAAGAGUCAUUGGAAGGUGGCUUUCACUUCGGUGAAAGUGUUUAUAGCCUUUGGCUUCUGCAAUCGGAGAGAUUGAGGUCUGCAGCGUAGAUCCUUCGGGGUUAGAUACAUUUGUGCUAAGUUAUAGCUUUUUCAUAGACAACAUUGUUGACUAUGAUUUAAUCAUUGUAGCCUUACUCGCUUAUGCUAUUUUACCUACGCUUAGGAUGUUGAUGUGAUACUGCGAGCA